GAUAGGUUCGCCCGGCUUGCCGCAACGAACAAUUACCUCAGAACCGAUACGAUCAAGGGGAAUCCGACUGUUUAAUCAAAACAAAGCAUUACGAUUCUCAUAGCUGGGUUUGACGUAAUGUGAUUUCUGCCCA
rnacentral:rRNA from 11 species